AACGUAGGUACCGAGCGUUAUCCGGAUUGACUGGGCGUAAAGCGUGUUCAGGCGGCCUGGCAAGUCGGGCAUGAAAUCUCUCGGCUCAACCGAGAGAGGCUGUCCGAUACUGCUGGGCUUGAGGACGGGUAGAGGGUGGUGGAAUUCCGCGUGUAGUGGUGAAAUGCGUAGAUAUGCGGAGGAACACCGGUGGCGAAGGCGGCUCUCUGGGCCUUACCUGACGCUGAGGCGCGAAAGCUAGGGGAGCGAACAGG
rnacentral:rRNA from 1 species